AGAUGAAAUUCAAUAAAGACAAAUGCAAAGUACUCCAUUUAGGAAGGAACAAUCAGUUACACACAUACAAAAUGGGAAAUGGCUGCCUAGUAAGGAGUACUGCGAUAAGGGAUCUGGGGGUCUUUGUGCAUUGCAAGCUAAAUAUGAGACAACAGGGUAACAUUGUUGCAAAAAAAGCAAAUAUUCUGGGAUGUAUUCGCUGGAGUGUUGUAAACAAGACACAAAGUAAUUCUUCCAUGCU